rnacentral:rRNA from 1 species
UACGGGGGGGGCAAGCGUUGUUCGGAAUUACUGGGCGUAAAGGGCGCGUAGGCGGCUCGCUAAGUCGGAUGUGAAAACUCUGGGCUCAACCCAGAGCCUGCAUUCGAAACUGACGAGCUGGAGUUCUGGAGGGGAAAGCGGAAUUCCUGGUGUAGCGGUGAAAUGCGUAGAUAUCAGGAGGAACACCAGUGGCGAAGGCGAGUCCCUGGACAAACCCUGACACUGAGGCACGAAAGCCAAGGGAGCAAACAGG